rfam:Stegodyphus mimosarum contig3241, whole genome shotgun sequence.
GACUUCGUGGUGUAGUGGUCAGCCCGCUUGACGCGUAACCAAGAGGUCCGUGGUUCGAUUCCAGGCGAAGGCG